rnacentral:rRNA from 1 species
AUACAUGCAAGUUGAGCGAUGAAGAUUGGUGCUUGCACCAAUUUGAAGAGCAGCGAACGGGUGAGUAACGCGUGGGGAAUCUGCCUUUGAGCGGGGGACAACAUUUGGAAACGAAUGCUAAUACCGCAUAACAACUUUAAACAUAAGUUUUAAGUUUGAAAGAUGCAAUUGCAUCACUCAAAGAUGAUCCCGCGUUGUAUUAGCUAGUUGGUGAGGUAAAGGCUCACCAAGGCGAUGAUACAUAGCCGACCUGAGAGGGUGAUCGGCCACAUUGGGACUGAGACACGGCCCAAACUCCUACGGGAGGCAGCAGUAGGGAAUCUUCGGCAAUGGACGAAAGUCUGACCGAGCAACGCCGCGUGAGUGAAGAAGGUUUUCGGAUCGUAAAACUCUGUUGGUAGAGAAGAACGUUGGUGAGAGUGGAAAGCUCAUCAAGUGACGGUAACUACCCAGAAAGGGACGGCUAACUACGUGCCAGCAGCCGCGGUAAUACGUAGGUCCCGAGCGUUGUCCGGAUUUAUUGGGCGUAAAGCGAGCGCAGGUGGUUUAUUAAGUCUGGUGUAAAAGGCAGUGGCUCAACCAUUGUAUGCAUUGGAAACUGGUAGACUUGAGUGCAGGAGAGGAGAGUGGAAUUCCAUGUGUAGCGGUGAAAUGCGUAGAUAUAUGGAGGAACACCGGUGGCGAAAGCGGCUCUCUGGCCUGUAACUGACACUGAGGCUCGAAAGCGUGGGGGAGCAAACAGGAUUAGAUACCCUGGUAGUCCACGCCCGUAAAACAAUGAGUGCUAGAAUGUAAGGG